UGUGAUGAAGGCCUUCGGAUUGUAAAGCACUUUCGUCGAGGAAGAACGGUUGUGUGUUAAUAUCACAGUGCAUUGACGUUACUCGCACAAGAAGCACCGGCUAACUCCGUGCCAGCAGCCGCGGUAAUACCGAGGGUGCAAGCGUUAAUCGGAAUUACUGGGCGUAAAGCGCACGCAGGCGGUUUGUUAAGUCAGAUGUGAAAUCCCCGCGCUUAACCUGGGAACUGCAUUUGAAACUGGCAAACUAGAGUCCUGUAGAGGGGGGUAGAAUUCCAGGUGUAGCGGUGAAAUGCGUAGAGAUCUGGAGGAAUACCGGUGGCGAAGGCGGCCCCCUGGACAAAGACUGACGCUCAAGUGCGAAAGCGUGGGGAGCAAACAGGAUUAGA
rnacentral:rRNA from 1 species